ACGUAGGAGGCAAGCGUUAUCCGGAGUUACUGGGCGUAAAGCGCGUGCAGGCGGUGCGAUAAGUCGUGCGUGAAAGCUCCCAGGCUUAACCGGGCGAGGACAAUGAAGACUGGUCAGCUAGAGGACGGUAGAGGGGUGUGGAAUUCCGCGUGUAGCAGUGAAAUGCGUAGAUAUGCGGAGGAACACCGAUGGCGAAGGCAAUCCCCUGGGCCUGCACUGACGCUCAUGCACGAAAGCGUGGGGAGCAAACAG
rnacentral:rRNA from 1 species